UUCCGACCUGAGCUCAGUUGUGAUUACC
rnacentral:rRNA from 1 species